AUGGCAUUAGACUGCUCUGAAUAAAGCUGCUUGAUUUCUUAUCCACCAGUAUUUGACCCUGAUUGCACUGUGAUCCUACCUGACUUCGGAGGCCAUAUCCACCCUGAUACUUGUUCAUUUGUUCACUCUUUGGUUAUAUGUAUUGAGCACCUACUUUGUACUAUGAUGCUCUGUCAUUCAGACCAGCAGUUGCUGAUAACUGCUUGUCACAGGAUCUAAUGAUUUAGCCUUGACAAGUCAAGAGUGGAUGCGGCCUUUGCAUUCUAUCCCCCGAGUCCUUGCUGAUGCUAUCUGCUUAUUACUGUG
rnacentral:lncRNA from 1 species